rnacentral:rRNA from 1 species
AUACGGAGAGUGCAAGCGUUACUCGGAAUCACUGGGCGUAAAGCGCGCGCAGGCGGCUUGAUAAGUUGGAUGUGAAAGCCUACGGCUCAACCGUAGAACUGCAUCCAAAACUAUUUAGCUAGAGUGUGGGAGAGGAAGAUGGAAUUAGUUGUGUAGGGGUAAAAUCCGUAGAGAUAACUAGGAAUACCAAAAGCGAAGGCAAUCUUCUGGAACACUACUGACGCUGAGGCGCGAAGGCGUGGGGAGCAAACAGGAUUAGAUACCCCGGUAGUCC